CUCCAAAAGCGUAACGGAGGCUUCUAAAGGUGCCCUCAGGACGAUUGGUAACCGUCCGCAGAGUGUAAUGGCAUAAGGGCGCUUGACUGGGAGACAGACAGGUCGAUCAGGUGGGAAACCAGAGCAUAGUGAUCCGGUGUUUCUGUAUGGAAAGGACAUCGCUCAAAGGAUAAAAGGUACUCCGGGGAUAACAGGCUGAUCCCUCCCAAGAGCUCAUAUCGACGGAGUGGUUUGGCACCUCGAUGUCGGCUCGUCACAUCCUGGGGCUGGAGAAGGUCCCAAGGGUUGGGCUGUUCGCCCAUUAAAGUGG
rnacentral:rRNA from 1 species